rnacentral:rRNA from 1 species
GUAGGUGGCAAGCGUUGUCCGGAAUUAUUGGGCGUAAAGCGCGCGCAGGCGGUUCUUUAAGUCUGAUGUGAAAGCCCACGGGCUCAACCGUGGAGGGUCAUUGGUAACUGGAGAACUUGAGUACAGAAGAGGAAAGCGGAAUUCCACGUGUAGCGGUGAAAUGCGUAGAGAUGUGGAGGAACACCAGUGGCGAAGGCGGCUUUCUGGUCUGUAACUGACGCUGAGGCGCGAAAGCGUGGGGAGCAAACAGGAUUAGAUACCCUGGUAGUCCACGCCGUAAACGAUGAGUGCUAAGUGUUAGGGGGUUUCCGCCCCUUAGUGCUGCAGCUAACGCAUUAAGCACUCCGCCUGGGGAGUACGGCCGCAAAGGCUG